rnacentral:lncRNA from 1 species
AACAGUCCUUUUGUCUCUCAACAUACAUGGAUUCCAUCUACACCCACAACACCCCCCUUGGAGGCCCCACAUUGCAACUUACAGGACUUAAAGGAUCUGCUGCUAACGUCUUGGUGUCAGAUACCACAGCACACAUUCAGAGGUCUAGUGGAGUCCAUGCCUCGAAGGCGGCAAAAGGGGGACCCACACAAUAUUAGGAAGGUGGUCAUAAUCUUAUGGCUGAUCGGUGUACAUUUGCUCCUCCAAGGGUUGUUUUAUCCCUCUCUGCGUGUCGCCCCCUGUUGGUCAGAAGACUGGCUGAUGUUACAAUACAAGAUUACAAGUCCAACCACAACUGAAGCAAGCAGAACGCACAUCAUAGCAAUAAGAGACCAAUGAGCUGUCUCUUUAUCUAUACCGACAGAAGAGAAAGAAAAUAUUUUUGAAUUUACGCAGUUCUGUUGAGGCCAGAUACCAGUAUUUUGUUUUUAAGUUAUUGUUUCCAGCAUGGGGUCACAUAGUGAAGUAAGCAUUUCUUAAAUCUUACCAUACACAGUGAGUUGAUAUGUUGUAUUGUCACCUCCCUUCAUAUACACAAAAUACAUCCCUGAAUCACUGGUUUUUAGAUCUCUGAUGGUGAACUGUCCAGUCUGUUGGUCCCACUGAAUUCUGUCUUUGAAACUGUCUUUAAAGAUUUCCAUGUAACCUUUAAACACCACAGCUAUAUGACUACCAUUAUAUAAUAAAGAGCCACAUGGCUUUGCUGGAUUAGAAAAUGUGAUGGAUUCUCCAACAACCUGUGUCAGCAUCUCUUCACCAGUCUGGCUGAUAGAGAAACACAGUCCUGCAAGAUACAGUAUCAGUGAUACAUCAAUCACUUCUGGUACAUAUGUACUGAUGAAGUAUUGAUUUUAAUCCAGGUCACUGACUUUUUCCUCUACCUUUCUCAAAUGACAUGUUGAAAUGACAUGCAUUUGUCCUGAAUCUAAAACACUAUCCCUGAUUUAUAAAAAGCUGGUUCAUAAUGUUGUUACUUUGACAGGAAGAAAGAUCUCACACCUCAAAAAAUGAAAUACCUGCCUUGUAUGUCUCCAUGUCUAAUUGCUUCCUGUGUAUUCACUGUCACAGCUCAUAAAAUAAAUGUUCCAAGUUAAACUAUAUUGUUUCUAACCCAAGCUCAUCCUCUCCAGAUAAUUUCAAUUUCUAAUGGUUAAAUACCUGCCUUGUGAGAAUCCAUUUGUCUCCUUCUUUUGACAAAUCACAAGUCCAACCACUACUGAAGCAACCAGAACGCAUAUUAUAGCAAAAAGAGACAAAUGAGCCCUCUCAUUAUCUAUACCUACAGAAGAGAAAGAAAAUAUUUGUGAACUUUCGCAGUACUUUUUAGGCCAGAUUCCAGUAUUUUGUUUUUAAGUUGUUGUUUCCAUGGAGUCACAAAUUAAAAGUAAUCAGGAAGCAGACGCAAGGAAACAAAGCAUUUAAUUAUGAAAUCAUGAGGGCAAAGACCCAGUCAGGGUGUAGAAAUAAGCAAAGGUCUGUUGUCCAAAGUACAGAGUGAAUGUAAUACAAAGGCAAUAAGUAACUCAACUGACUUUUAGCAUGAGACACUGAGUCUCUAAACACAAAACAUCAUGACAAUAAGCAACAAAGACGGGGAAACAGGAAUACACACACAUGAUAAUUAGAGGAAUGGAAACCAGGUGUGUAAUGAGGAAGACAAUCUGUGAGUGGAGGAUGGAUGGGGCGUUGGGUUGAUGACCAGGGGAGUGGAGGAUGGAUGGGGCGUUGGGUUGAUGACCAGGGGAGUGGAGGAUGGAUGGGGCAUUGGGUUGAUGACCAGGGGAGUG